rnacentral:rRNA from 1 species
UAAGUUCACACUGUUUCACGGUGAAACCGCGAAUGGCUCAUUAAAUCAGUCGAGGUUCCUUAGAUGACACGAUCCUACUUGGAUAACUGUGGCAAUUCUAGAGCUAAUACAUGAUUCGCAAGCUCCGACCCUCGUGGAAAGAGCGCUUUUAUUAGUUCAAAACCAAUCGUCGUUUCUCGCAAGAGGGCGGCGUCACUAUUGGUGACUCUGGAUAACUUUGUGCUGAUCGCAUGGCCUCGGUGCCGGCGACGCAUCUUUCAAAUGUCUGCCCUAUCAAUUGUCGAUGGUACGUGAUAUGCCUACCAUGAUUGUAACGGGUAACGGGGAAUCAGGGUUCGAUUCC